AGAAGGACACGGGCAGCAGACAGUGGUCAGUCCUUUCUUGGCUCUGCUGACACUCGAGCCCACAUUCCGUCACCUGCUCAGAAUCAUGCAGGUCUCCACUGCUGCCCUUGCUGUCCUCCUCUGCACCAUGGCUCUCUGCAACCAGUUCUCUGCAUCACGUGAGUCUGAGUUUCGUUGUGGGUAUCACCACUCUCUGGCCAUGGUUAGACCACAUCAAUCUUUUCUUGUGGCCUAAAAGCCCCCAAGAGAAAAGAGAACUUCUUAAAGGGCUGCCAAACAUCUUGGUCUUUCUCUUUAAGACUUUUAUUUUUAUCUCUAGAAGGGGUCUUAGCCCCCUAGUCUCCAGGUAUGAGAAUCUAGGCAGGGGCAGGGGAGUUACAGUCCCUUUUACAGAUAGAAAAACAGGGUUCGAAACGAAUCAGUUAGCAAGAGGCAGAAUCCAGGGCUGCUUACUUCCCAGUGGGGUAUGUUGUUCACUCUCCAGCUCACUCUAGGUCUCCCAGGAGCUCUGUCCCUUGGAUGUCUUAUGAGAGAUGUCCAAGGCUUCUCUUGGGUUGGGGUAUGACUUCUUGAACCAGACAAAAUUCCCUGAAGAGAACUGAGAUAAGAGAACAGUCCGUUCAGGUAUCUGGAUCACACAGAGAAACAGAGAACCCACUAUGAAGAGUCAAGGAGAAAGAAGGAUACAGACAGAAACAAAGAGACAUUUCUCAGCAAAAAUGCCCAAAUGCCUUCCAGUCACUUGGUCUGAGCAAGCCUGCCUUCCUCAACUGCUCGGGGAUCAGAAGCUGCCUGGCCUUUUCUUCUGAGCUGUGACUCGGGCUCAUUCUCUUCCUUUCUCCACAGUUGCUGCUGACACGCCGACCGCCUGCUGCUUCAGCUACACCUCCCGGCAGAUUCCACAGAAUUUCAUAGCUGACUACUUUGAGACGAGCAGCCAGUGCUCCAAGCCCGGUGUCAUCUUCCUAACCAAGCGAAGCCGGCAGGUCUGUGCUGACCCCAGUGAGGAGUGGGUCCAGAAAUAUGUCAGCGACCUGGAGCUGAGUGCCUGAGGGGUCCAGAAGCUUCGAGGCCCAGCGACCUCGGUGGGCCCAGUGGGGAGGAGCAGGAGCCUGAGCCUUGGGAACAUGCGUGUGACCUCCACAGCUACCUCUUCUAUGGACUGGUUGUUGCCAAACAGCCACACUGUGGGACUCUUCUUAACUUAAAUUUUAAUUUAUUUAUACUAUUUAGUUUUUGUAAUUUAUUUUCGAUUUCACAGUGUGUUUGUGAUUGUUUGCUCUGAGAGUUCCCCUGUCCCCUCCCCCUUCCCUCACACCGCGUCUGGUGACAACCGAGUGGCUGUCAUCAGCCUGUGUAGGCAGUCAUGGCACCAAAGCCACCAGACUGACAAAUGUGUAUCGGAUGCUUUUGUUCAGGGCUGUGAUCGGCCUGGGGAAAUAAUAAAGAUGCUCUUUUAAAAGGUAAA